GCAAAACCUGUGUAGUGGUAUGAUUCUCGCUUUGGGUGCGAGAGGUCCCGGGUUCAAUCCCCGGUUCGGCC
rnacentral:tRNA from 16 species